rnacentral:rRNA from 1 species
AGUGAACGCUGGCGGUAGGCCUAACACAUGCAAGUCGAACGGCAGCACAGUAAGAGCUUGCUCUUACGGGUGGCGAGUGGCGGACGGGUGAGGAAUACAUCGGAAUCUACUUUUUCGUGGGGGAUAACGUAGGGAAACUUACGCUAAUACCGCAUACGACCUACGGGUGAAAGCAGGGGAUCUUCGGACCUUGCGCGAUUGAAUGAGCCGAUGUCGGAUUAGCUAGUUGGCGGGGUAAAGGCCCACCAAGGCGACGAUCCGUAGCUGGUCUGAGAGGAUGAUCAGCCAACCUGGAAAUGGAAAACGGUCCAAACCCCUACGGGAGGCAGGAGGGGGGAAUAUUGGACAUGGGGGGCAAGCCUGACCCACCCAUCCCGCGUGGGUGAAGAAGGCCUUCGGGUUGUAAAGCCCUUUUUUUGGGAAAAAAAAGCAGCAGGUUAAUACCCCGCUGUUUUGACGGUACCAAAAGAAUAAGCCCCGGCUAACUUCGU